CAUAUGGUCGGCCAUGCCCGACUAUACUUUCUUACUUGUUUAAUUCUAUACUCUGUUCUAACCAAACAGCUGCGUUUAGAAUGUCUACAAACAAAAAAUACAGUAGGUACAUACGUUAGUACAUUCAUAGUAAUUAUACUUGUGCACAAUAAUAGCAAAAUAUUUAUGCUAUAAUUAAAAUAAAAAUAUACGAGCAGAUAAAAAUUUUUGACAAAUUUUUAUAUCAAAUGAGAGAAUCUGUAUCACAAAUGGUGGAGUAAUUUUCAAAAUUUGGUCAUGACGUAUAAUACAGCUACAGCCGGUCGGGCAAAUACCUCAUAUGGGCUUUGUUAUAUAAAGCGUUCCGGAACAGAUUUGUUUAGUUAAUCACAUUAUAUAGAUAGUGUAAAUAUAAAAUAUUAAUCAAUAUUGUUUAAUUUUUUAAAAUUUGAAAUAAAAUGAAUAUAUACAUAAAUUUUUUUUAAAUAAAA